AUGGUUGACCACUUGAUUAGUGAAGAUGUUGCGAUGAACUCACAUAAGAAUAGUGUUGCUACUGAAAUUGAAAAGAUUAUGGAAGAAGUUCUGGCAUGUGGAGCCGAUGAAACAAGUGAUGAGUACUUCAUAGCAACCAAGUUGUUUGCGAAGUUUGAAAAUCGUUGUUUCUUUAACAAUAUGAAGACUAGCGAAGGGAAGAAGAAUUGGCUUAGGAGGAUGUAUGAAGAGCGAAAUAGGCAUUAG
rnacentral:rRNA from 1 species